rnacentral:lncRNA from 1 species
UUUUUUUGAAUUUUCGAAUAGGGAUAACUAAAUUGCAGCAGCAGUAAGGUAGGAAACCAGAACUUGUUGUAAUUCACGGGGAGAUCAAAGGAUGAUCUGCGGUGGUGGAGAUGACGGUGGAAUUUGACAACGAUCUUUUAAGCAAUUGUGGGAAUUGCUUUGGGCGGUUGUGGAGGGUUGAUGGAUGGCAGUGGAAGGGCAGCGAGAUGCCAAGAACGCUGCUCUGAUACCAGGUGUUAGAACCCUU